AGUGUAGACCCUGGCCAGCCAAGACCUCCAUCAAACAGAACCGUGCAGUCACCAAAUUCAUCAGUGCCGUCUCCAGGCCUGGCAGGGCCUGUUACUAUGACUAGUGUCCAUCCCCCAAUACGUUCACCUAGUGCCUCCAGUGUUGGGAGCCGAGGAAGCUCGGGCUCUUCCAGCAAACCAGCAGGAGCGGAUUCUACUCACAAGGUCCCAGUAGUCAUGCUGGAGCCAAUUCGAAUAAAACAGGAAAACAGUGGACCACCUGAAAACUAUGAUUUUCCUGUUGUUAUAGUAAAACAAGAAUCAGAUGAAGAAUCUAGACCUCAAAAUUAGCCAGAGCUCUGCUUCUGAGGAGACGGUGUUACGGUCCGAUGCCCCUGAUAGUACAGGAGAUCAGCCUGCACUCCAUCAUGAAAACUCCCCAAAUGGAAAGUCUGAGUGGCCGGAUGCCUCCCAGAAGUCCCCUGUGCAUGUUGGAGAGACAAGAAAGGAGGAUGACCCCAAUGAAGACUGGUGUGCUGUUUGUCAAAAUGGUGGAGAACUCCUAUGCUGUGAGAAAUGUCCCAAAGUAUUCCAUCUUACUUGUCAUGUGCCCACACUGACACAUUUUCCAAGUGGAGAAUGGAUUUGUACUUUCUGCCGGGACUUAUCUAAGCCAGAAGUUGAAUAUGAUUGUGAUGCUCCCAGUCACAACUCAGAUAAAAGGAAAAGUGAAGGCCUUACUAAAC
rnacentral:lncRNA from 1 species